rnacentral:rRNA from 1 species
AUGUCGUCGCCAUACAGCGGGAGAGACUCCAAGGCGGCGGUGAAGCCCCUGCUGGUGACGAUCAAGGUGGUGAGCCAGGAGAAGGUGCUCCGCCACACCAUGAGCAGGACGGACAAGCUCCAGGUCCUCUUGGACGCGUGGUACCACAAGGUGCCUGACGUGACGUAUGGCACCGGCGUAUUCCUCUUCGAGGGCGUACGGCUGCGCGGCGACAAGACCCCGGCGGACCUCGAGAUGGAGGACGGCGACAUGAUCGAUUUCUUCGAGCACAUGAAUGGCGGCGGGCGGUUCGUUGCUAGAUCGAUGUCCGCGCACUAG